CUCCCCCUGCUCACCAACUCACCCACUCCCACUUCCUGGCCCUGGCAUUCCCUUACACUGAGGCAUAGAACCUUCACAGGACCAAGGGCUUCUCCUCCCAUUGAUGACUGACAAUUCACAGACCAUAUGAAGAUCAAGAAGAAGGAAGACCAAAAUGUGGAUACGUUGAUCCUUCUUAGAAAGGAGAACAAAAUACCCAUGGGAGGAGUUACAGAGACAAAGUGUGGAGCAGAGACUGAAGGAAAGACCAUCCAGAGACUGCCCCACCUGGGGAUCCAUCCAUCCCAUAUACAGUCAUCAAAUCCAGACACUAUUGUGGAUGCCAACAAGGGCUUGCUGACAGAAGCCUUAUAUAGCUGUCUCCUGAGAGGCUCUGCCAGUUCCUGACAAAUACAGAAGUGGAUGCUUUCAGUCAACCAUUCGACUGAGCACAGGGUGCCCAAUAGAGGAACUAAAGGACCCUAGGAGCUGAAGCUGAAAUUUUUAAUAUAAUGCCUCUUAGCCUGGUUUGGAGAAAACGUCACAGAGAGGCACCAUUUGUUGUGGUUUUACAUGAAAAUUUUCUGACCCUGAACCUGGUUUGAUGGAAAUCAUUUGCUGAGGUUAUUUAGAAAAUUGUUACCUCAAAAAUGACCUAGGGGUCCUUAGAAUAAUAACACACAGAAGAAUAGCCUCAUUUUUCUGUUGGGCCCAGGAAACCAUGCCGAUUACCGACCGAGCUCUCAAUGGAAAAAUGCAGUCGGCGUGAACCACGCACGAACACAGCAGAGAAAGAAGAAAACACACACCACGAGGAACCCUAAUAGGACAAUACAUUAUAAGCCUCAUGGUACAUCCACUUGGUGUGCUGGGAGAGUCAGGAUGAGGACCUGAGAAGAACAGCAGCUUGAACCUGACUUCAUUUAACAGCCCACUGCCCUCUUGCCAAGAACCCAUCACAGACCUUCCCAGAAGAGAGGGAUGAGCCUCACCUAUGAAUAAGUCCUCAGAAACUCAAAUUUGAUUCUAAUGGAUUGUUUUCUCAGAAAGACUGAGCAUGUCCCCCCACAUCUCUGUCAUUUCCCACAGUAGUAACCUCUGCAGAUGCCACAUAGAAAACAAAACAAAACAAAAAAACAUGAGGUUGGUGGGCAGAUAGGCAGGGUAUAAACAAACAGCCUUGUAACCCAGAAGCUGUGUGAUAUACAGUAAACUUCACAACACUGAAAAGAUGUCCUAUCUGUUAAAAUGGGGUAAUAACAACUACCCGAAUGUUUAGGAAUAGAACUUCAAUAAAUGAUACAUUUUAUAGUACAGCAGACCAUCCUGUAAAGGUUUCAUCCUUCACUGUGGUGAUAAAUAUCCCAAACCACAUUGAAAAGCAUUGCAUCUACAUUUAUCUACACUGUAACUGUACUGUAAAUCAUGGGGGAGGGGAGAAUCAUAAAAACACCACCUGUCACCGUGUCAUUAAAGCAAGUUGGAAGUGAUACUUACAGAAACACAGCAAGAGCACCCCCAGUCACACAGUUCAAUCUCUUAGCAAGCGUUUUCUUUCUAGCCCAGUGGUUCUCAGUUUGGAAUUUUUGGCACUGCCUAGAGAUAGUUUUGUUGUUAAAACUGAGAAAAGAGCCGGGCGUGGUGGCACACGCCUUUAAUCCCAGCACUCAGGAGGCAGAGGCAGG
rnacentral:lncRNA from 1 species